rnacentral:rRNA from 2 species
UGGAUUAGUGGCGAACGGGUGAGUAACACGUGGGCAAUCUGCCCUUCACUCUGGGACAAGCCCUGGAAACGGGGUCUAAUACCGGAUAACACUCUCCUCCUCCUGGGGGUGGGUUAAAAGCUCCGGCGGUGAAGGAUGAGCCCGCGGCCUAUCAGCUUGUUGGUGGGGUAAUGGCCUACCAAGGCGACGACGGGUAGCCGGCCUGAGAGGGCGACCGGCCACACUGGGACUGAGACACGGCCCAGACUCCUACGGGAGGCAGCAGUGGGGAAUAUUGCACAAUGGGCGAAAGCCUGAUGCAGCGACGCCGCGUGAGGGAUGACGGCCUUCGGGUUGUAAACCUCUUUCAGCAGGGAAGAAGCGCAAGUGACGGUACCUGCAGAAGAAGCACCGGCUAACUACGUGCCAGCAGCCGCGGUAAUACGUAGGGUGCGAGCGUUGUCCGGAAUUAUUGGGCGUAAAGAGCUCGUAGGCGGUCUGUCACGUCGGAUGUGAAAGCCCGGGGCUUAACCCCGGGUCUGCAUUCGAUACGGGCAGACUAGAGUGUGGUAGGGGAGAUCGGAAUUCCUGGUGUAGCGGU